rnacentral:rRNA from 1 species
UUGGAGGGCAAGUCUGGUGCCAGCAGCCGCGGUAAUUCCAGCUCCAAUAGCGUAUAUUAAAGUUGCUGCAGUUAAAAAGCUCGUAGUUGAAUUUCGGGACUAAUAUGUCGGUCGUGCCUCGGUACGUACUGGUUUAUUGGUUUCUCCUUUCUGAAGAACCAUGAUGUCAUUUAUUUGGUGUCGUGGGGAAUCAGGACUGUUACUUUGAAAAAAUUAGAGUGUUUAAAGCAGGCUCACGCUUGAAUACAUUAGCAUGGAAUAAUGAAAUAGGACGUUUGAUUCUAUUUUGUUGGUUUCUAGGAUCGACGUAAUGAUUAAUAGGGAUAGUUGGGGGCAUUAGUAUUCAAUUGUCAGAGGUGAAAUUCUUGGAUUUAUUGAAGACUAACUACUGCGAAAGCAUUUGCCAAGGAUGUUUUCAUUAAUCAAGAACGAAAGUUAGGGGAUCGAAGACGAUCAGAUACCGUCGUAGUCUUAACCAUAAACUAUGCCGACUAGGGAUCGGAUGAUGUUAAUUUUUUAAUGACUCAUUCGGCGCCUUACGGGAAAC